UACGUAUGGAGCAAGCGUUAUCCGGAUUUACUGGGUGUAAAGGGAGUGUAGGUGGCCAUGCAAGUCAGAAGUGAAAAUCCGGGGCUCAACCCCGGAACUGCUUUUGAAACUGUGGGGCUAGAGUGCAGGAGGGGUGAGUGGAAUUCCUAGUGUAGCGGUGAAAUGCGUAGAUAUUAGGAGGAACACCAGUGGCGAAGGCGGCUCACUGGACUGUAACUGACACUGAGGCUCGAAAGCGUGGGGAGCAAACAGG
rnacentral:rRNA from 1 species